AAACUUGGGGGAGAAUGGGCAUCCCACCCCAGCACUUUCUAGGAAGAAGGGCAGCAUUUUGAAGGGCUGGAAGUAGAGGAAGGAGGUUGCGGGUAGAAGACUCCAUACUUUCUGUGACGCCUAUUCCUUAGGUAGGAACUUAGGAACCUCAGGUUGUGAUGAAUGUUUUCUCAGUAUCCUAUGCUGAAAACAGGUAGAUACUAAUAUCGAUCUUCAAGGGAGGGCUGUUGAGUAUUGAAUAAGACAAAAACAUGGAAGCAAUCAGCACCAUGCUGGUAAGUAAGAACAACAGAAGUUUCAACAUUCUGCCAACAGAGUAACUCCUGGAAGAUUGGCACAGAAGAAGGCACAAGGAGAGCCUUUAUAUAACCAAAGAUAUUUUUGGACCAUGAAUUCAGAAAUUCUCGGAGCCACCCAUCAGUGCCUGAGCUUCAGUGAGUCCAUAUCCCAUGUCACCCACGGCAAAGGAGACUCUAAGACUUCUGAAGAGUUUCUUGCUUCUUUCCUGUGGGGCAGUGACUCCACUUCCCAGCAGUAAUGGAAUAUCCUGAAUUAGCUACAUUAAUGUUAGAACCAUUUGGACCUCACCCAGGACUUCAACUACAUUAUGGUUAAGACAGAGAAUCUGAAGACUGCAUACCUGACCUCUCGUUUUUACCUACCCACCCACCCACACCCAAAGGCACAAGGCAAAUACCCAUCUCUGUACACCCUGUGCUACUGUGUCAUGUGCUGCUCCAGGCAACUCCAAUGGAUUGGCCACCCUGGCCAAUGUGUUCUAGUAUGUUACGUUUAUGUUCCCCUGCUUUCUACAAUCCUGUUCAAAGAGUUGCUGACUUAACCACAGAGAGGAUUCCAGAACCUGAGACACAGAAUAAACUUGAGCAAUCAUAGUCCAUCCACUUCAUUGUCUCAUCAAAAACCAAAGGUCCAGUGAAGCUCUGGAACUCAACGCUGUAAAGGAGCGAAGGAGCUUCUAUACAGAGCCUGGAUGCCUGUCUCCUUAUCCUACUUCAGUGGACUUGACUGCAAUCCGGAUUAUGCUGUUUUCUAAGCAUUUAAAAUAAAAUAAAAAGUAUAAU
rnacentral:lncRNA from 1 species